CAUGUUUUUUUGAAUUUUAUUUAAAAUUGAACCUGCUCAAUGAAUUUAAAUAGCCGCAGUAUAUUAACUGUGCAAAGGUAGCAAAAUAAUUAGUUUAUUAAUUGUAAACUUGUAUGAAAGGUUUGACAAAGAAAUAACUGUCUAAAAAUUAAAAAUUUAAUUUAACUUAAAAGUUAAAAGGCUUUUAUUUUUAACAGGGACAAGAAGACCCUAUAGAGUUUUAUAUAUUUAAUUAUUUAACAAUUAUUAAUUAAUAAUAUUUUUAUUUGAUUGGGGUGAUUUAAAAAUUUAAUAAACUUUUUAUUAGUUAAACUUUAUAAAUGAUUAUAUGAAAAAUAUUUUUGAUUUAAGAAUAAAUUACCUUAGGGAUAACAGCAUAAUUUUUAAAAAAGUUCAUAUUAAAAUAAAAGAUUAUGACCUCGAUGUUGGAUUAAAAAUUUUAUUUAAUGUAUAAAUUAAGUAUAAAGGUCUGUUCGUCCUUUAAAAUUUUACAUGAUCUGAGU
rnacentral:rRNA from 1 species